GCCGGGUGAGUGAGACGGUUUCACGUCAGGCUCAUAUCCUGAAAAAAGUGGGUUCAACUCCCAUACCCGACA
rnacentral:tRNA from 5 species